rnacentral:rRNA from 1 species
CACGUAGGGUGCGAGCGUUGUCCGGAAUUAUUGGGCGUAAAGAGCUCGUAGGCGGUGUGUCGCGUCGGCCGUGAAAACCUGCAGCUUAACUGUGGGCUUGCGGUCGAUACGGGCAUCACUGGAGUUCGGCAGGGGAGACUGGAAUUCCUGGUGUAGCGGUGAAAUGCGCAGAUAUCAGGAGGAACACCUGUGGCGAAGGCGGCUUUCUGGGCCCUACCUGACGCUGAGACGCGAAAGCCAGGGGAGCAAACGGG